UACAGAGGUGGCAAGCGUUGUUCGGAAUCACUGGGCGUAAAGGGCGCGUAGGCGGCCGAUUAAGUCGGGGGUGAAAGCCUGUGGCUCAACCACAGAAUUGCCUUCGAUACUGGUUGGCUUGAGACCGGAAGAGGACAGCGGAACUGCGAGUGUAGAGGUGAAAUUCGUAGAUAUUCGCAAGAACACCAGUGGCGAAGGCGGCUGUCUGGUCCGGUUCUGACGCUGAGGCGCGAAAGCGUGGGGAGCAAACAGG
rnacentral:rRNA from 1 species